UGAGUUUUGAAGGAUGUAGGGAGCCUUAUG
rnacentral:piRNA from 1 species